GGGUAAAAUACAGAGGUAGCCAUUACUCCAAUCUGUCCUACUGAAAAACGAAUUGUCCCGGUGGAUAUAUUAUCGAAUAGAUAUUUGAAAAACAUCUUGAGGAUUGAUUAUAAACAACGUUUGCCAUGUUUCUGUCGAUAUUAUGGAGCUAAUUUGUAAUAUUUUUCGGUGUUUUCAGUGACCGCAAUUGCCGGGCGAUUUCUCAGCCAAACGUGAAGAAAAAACGGAGCUAUUUCGCCUACAAAAAUAAUAUUUUUGGAAAAAAGGAACAUUUUCUAUCUAACUGGGAGUUUCCUUAGUGGAAACAUCCGAAGCUCAUCAAAGGGGGUGCACCGUUCCUGGAGGUACUGCAAUACCAGGUCGAUGCGUGGAGUGGACGGAGCAAGCCCCUAUUCCAUCUCCCUAUUCCAAAAAUCCCUUUAAUAUACGGUCUACAUUUUGAAAAUCCAUUUACUGUUUUGCAACAGCUCUGUGUCUUAUGGACUCUGUUCUAAAAACUCGACAACCUUGUUCCAAGAAAAAUGCUUGUAGACGAUUGAGAAACUGUAAUAGGUUGUUUCCGGAUUUAAAUAGUACAAGAUUACAGUACCAUGAGGGACAAAAAUGCUGACAGCACCUGGUAUUCCCAGGCAGUCUCCCAUCCAAGGACUAACCAGGCCUGACCUUGCUUAGCUUCCGAGACCGGGCGUAUUGUAUUGUAAUGUGUAUAUGAUGCACGUAAACACUUCACUGUACCGUUUACACCCUGUAUCCUGUGCAUGUGACGAAUAAACGUUGAUGUGAUGAUCAACUCACCAUU